GCGGGUGUAGUUCAAUGGUAGAACUUCAGCUUCCCAAGCUGAUAGUGCGAGUUCGAUUCUCGUCACCCGCU
rnacentral:tRNA from 3 species